rfam:Schistosoma mansoni strain Puerto Rico chromosome 2, complete genome
AUCCAACUGACAAGUUCCAAAUAGAACGAAACGCAUAUCCUGGAU